GAAACUUAGCAUAUCAAUAAGCGGAGGAAAAGAAACCAACAGGGAAUUGCCUCAGUAACGGCGAGUGAAGCGGCAACAGCUCAAAUUUGAAAUCUGACUUCGGUCCGAGUUGUAAUUUGUAGAGGAAGUCUCGGGCGCGAUGCCGGUCUAAGUUCCUUGGAACAGGACGUCAUAGAGGGUGAGAAUCCCGUAUGCGACCGGUGGUCAACCCCAUGUGAGGCCCCUUCGACGAGUCGAGUUGUUUGGGAAUGCAGCUCUAAACGGGUGGUAAAUUUCAUCUAAAGCUAAAUACUGGCCAGAGACCGAUAGCGCACAAGUAGAGUGAUCGAAAGAUGAAAAGCACUUUGGAAAGAGAGUUAAACAGUACGUGAAAUUGUUGAAAGGGAAGCGCUUGCAACCAGACUUGCUCGCGGGCGAUCCGCCGUCCUUCGGGGCGGUCUACUCGUCCGUGAUCAGGCCAGCAUCGGUUUUGGCGGCUGGAUACAGGCUCCGGGAAUGUGGCUCCUUUCGGGGAGUGUUAUAGCCCGGGGUGCAAUGCGGCCAGCUGGGACCGAGGAUCGCGCUUCGGCUAGGAUGCUGGCGUAAUGGUUGUCAGCGACCCGUCUUGAAACACGGACCAAGGAGUCUAACAUCUAUGCGAGUGUUUGGGUGUCAAACCCAUACGCGUAAUGAAAGUGAACGGAGGUGGGAACCUUUCGGGGCGCACCAUCGACCGAUCCUGAUGUCUUCGGAUGGAUUUGAGUAUGAGCAUAGCUGUUGGGACCCGAAAGAUGGUGAACUAUGCCUGAAUAGGGUGAAGCCAGAGGAAACUCUGGUGGAGGCUCGCAGCGGUUCUGACGUGCAAAUCGAUCGUCAAAUUUGGGUAUAGGGGCGAAAGACUAAUCGAACCAUCUAGUAGCUGGUACCUGUCGAGUUUUCCCCUCAGGAUAAGG
rnacentral:rRNA from 1 species